AUGAACUGUAGUGACAAACACAUAUCCUUCGGUCAUUUUGUCAAGUCAUUUGGAAUUCAUCUCUCAAUUCUGUAUUUUCAGCAUGGUGACCACAGCGUGCUGCCUCUCACGUGGUUCUCGGAUGAGCGAGCCAACAGAAAGAUACAGAGCUUUAAAAAAAUUCCAGGAACUGACACCCGGACCUCAUGUCCCACCUUCCACUCAGGAAGUAAAGCCAGGACUAAGUUCCCUGCUGCUACAGACGGGGCAGUGCAAGAUCAGAUAAAACUAAUCAGUAACUAA
rnacentral:lncRNA from 1 species